rnacentral:rRNA from 1 species
AUUGAACGCUAGCGGGAUGCUUUACACAUGCAAGUCGAACGAGUGGCGGACGGGUGCGUAAUAUAUCGGAGCGUGCCCAGUAGCGGGGGAUAACUACUCGAAAGAGUGGCUAAUACCGCAUACUAUUGGCGCGGCCGAUAUCGGAUUGGCUAUUUGGUGGGGUAAAGGGUCACCAGGGCAACGAUCCGUAGCUGGUUUGAGAGGACGACCAGCAGCACUGGGACUGAGGCACGGCCCAGACUCCUACGGGAGGCAGCAGGGGGAAAUUUUGGGAAAUGGGGGAAACCCUGAUCCAGCCAUCCCGCGGGUAUGAGAAGGCCUUCGGGUUGUAAAGUACUUUUGGCAGAGAAGCGGUAUCUGCAGAAUAAGCACCGGCUAACUACGUGCCAGCCGCCGCGGUAAUAC